UGCACUUUAACGCAUGCGACGCUUUGAGCAUUGCUUGUAAGUUCAUGUUCAAAUAUGCAUCGUUGCAUUCAUAAGUGCUAUUUCAAGAAGGUUCAGCCUCAACAGUCGAAGUGAGUCUUAUACGAUUGUACUAAUUCACCGAAUAUAUAUAUCAUUGUGUAUUUUUAUUGCUUGUCGGAGAAUCAUUAAUCGAGUUUGUCAUUUAAACUGUGAAUACAGUUUAAAUUGCGUUUAAAUAGAAACAUGAUAACUUUAAACGUUGUCAAAUAUUUCAACGGACCAUGGAGGAGCAUUCUCGGAAAUAGAUUAUCAGGAAAUAUCGUAUGUGUCAAUAAAACCAGACCAAUGUCGACGAUAGAUUCUAAGGCAGUUGAAUAUCAUUCUGGUAUGAAAAACAUUUGGUGGGACGAGAAU